ACAUUCAGCUCAUUCAUUGAUUUAUUUAUUUUUUUGUGCUUUGACUUGAGAUGGGGUAGUGAAAUCUCUUCAACUUAAACAAAAAGUCCUCAAACUGCUUAAUGCCCCUCCCACUCAAAAUUUACUGUCAAACUCAACAUCAAACAAAGGGAAUUCUACCUUGUGGAUUUAAAUCAAACACCGAGAAUUGCUGCCGCUUAGCUUUUGCUCAGUCUUGUUUGACUCCCCUGCUGGGGGGGGCAGGAUGCGGUUGGGGGUGGGGGGUUAAGUGAUUUUCUUUCUUUGACAUAUAAGGGAAAGGCAAGUUGUCUUCUCUUUGACUUGCCACCCUCUCUGGUAUUCCGUCCCUUCUAUCUCGACACCCUCCUUUCUCGUCUCCUCCCGCUUUUGUCGUUUUGGCGCCAGUGAAAGGCUUAACGUUGGCCCGCGUCCCUGAGGGAGACCAAAAGGAAAUGUGACUUGUGGGGACAUGAAAGAAAAGCUUAAUUAUUUCCCAAUGUCAUUAGAGGGAUCAAAAAAGGGUUAGAAGGCUUAAUGGGAAGGGCGAGAACAAGAAGGUGGGAUGGCCAAACGCUCAAUAAAACAAUUUUUAAAAAAAU